GUUGUCUAUCUGGUAAAACUCAAACGGUGCUUUUCAGAACUCCAAUAUUUCGUUAUUACAAUAUGCAAAAAAUGAUUAUUUUUUUCGUAGCCCUUAUUACCUUAGAAAUAUCAUCGGUCGCACUAGGCCAGCCAUAUCAAGAUGGACUUAGUUUAAAUGGACACAAAGUCCCUCUAGCUUUGCCGUAUCAUCAAGCCCCAUACGCUAUGCCACAUUCUCAAG